rnacentral:rRNA from 1 species
UGCAGUCGAGCGGACAGAUGGGAGCUUGCUCCCUGAUGUUAGCGGCGGACGGGUGAGUAACACGUGGGUAACCUGCCUGUAAGACUGGGAUAACUCCGGGAAACCGGGGCUAAUACCGGAUGGUUGUUUGAACCGCAUGGUUCAAACAUAAAAGGUGGCUUCGGCUACCACUUACAGAUGGACCCGCGGCGCAUUAGCUAGUUGGUGAGGUAACGGCUCACCAAGGCAACGAUGCGUAGCCGACCUGAGAGGGUGAUCGGCCACACUGGGACUGAGACACGGCCCAGACUCCUACGGGAGGCAGCAGUAGGGAAUCUUCCGCAAUGGACGAAAGUCUGACGGAGCAACGCCGCGUGAGUGAUGAAGGUUUUCGGAUCGUAAAGCUCUGUUGUUAGGGAAGAACAAGUACCGUUCGAAUAGGGCGGUACCUUGACGGUACCUAACCAGAAAGCCACGGCUAACUACGUGCCAGCAGCCGCGGUAAUACGUAGGUGGCAAGCGUUGUCCGGAAUUAUUGGGCGUAAAGGGCUCGCAGGCGGUUUCUUAAGUCUGAUGUGAAAGCCCCCGGCUCAACCGGGGAGGGUCAUUGGAAACUGGGGAACUUGAGUGCAGAAGAGGAGAGUGGAAUUCCACGUGUAGCGGUGAAAUGCGUAGAGAUGUGGAGGAACACCAGUGGCGAAGGCGACUCUCUGGUCUGUAACUGACGCUGAGGAGCGAAAGCGUGGGGAGCGAACAGGAUUAGAUACCCUGGUAGUCCACGCCGUAAACGAUGAGUGCUAAGUGUUUAGGGGGUUUCCGCCCCUUAGUGCUGCAGCUAACGCAUUAAGCACUCCGCCUGGGGGAGUACGGUCGCAAGACUGAAACUCAAAGGAAUUGACGGGGGCCCGCACAAGCGGUGGAAGCAUGUGGUUUAAUUCGAAGCAACGCGAAGAACCUUACCAGGUCUUGACAUCCUCUGACAAUCCUAGAAGAUAGGACGUCCCCUUCGGGGGCAGAGUGACAGGUGGUUGCAUGGUUGUCGUCAGCUCGUGUCGUGAGAAGUUUGGGUUAAGUCCCGCAACGAGCGCAACCCUUGAUCUUAGUUGCCAGCAUUCAGUUGGGCACUCUAAGGUGACUGCCGGUGACAAA